rnacentral:rRNA from 1 species
UACGUAGGGGGCAAGCGUUGUCCGGAUUCAUUGGGCGUAAAGAGCGUGUAGGCGGCCAGGUAGGUCUGCUGUGAAAACUCGAGGCUCAACCUCGAGAUGUCGGCGGAAACCAUCUGGCUAGAGUCCGGAAGAGGAGAAUGGAAUUCCCGGUGUAGCGGUGAAAUGCGCAGAUAUCGGGAAGAACACCCGUGGCGAAGGCGGUUCUCUGGGACGGUACUGACGCUGAGACGCGAAAGCGUGGGGAGCGAACAGG